UACGGGGGGGGCAAGCGUUGUUCGGAAUUACUGGGCGUAAAGGGCGCGUAGGCGGCCUUCUAAGUCGGACGUGAAAUCCCUCGGCUUAACCGAGGAACUGCGUCCGAUACUGAAAGGCUUGAAUCCGGGAGAGGGAUGUGGAAUUCCAGGUGUAGCGGUGAAAUGCGUAGAUAUUGGGAGGAACACCAGUGGCGAAAGCGGCUUCCUGGUCCAGCACCGACGUUCAGGCACGAAAGCGUGGGGAGCAAACAGG
rnacentral:rRNA from 1 species